rnacentral:antisense_RNA from 1 species
GCUUGGAUCAAUCUGGUUCAAGCAUUUUGCAGACACCAGAAAGAGAAAAGCCCCGGAAAAUAUAUUUUAUAUUCACCGAGGCGGACUCAAACCCUAACAAUUUGAUUCUGCCUCCUUAUAAAGGAGCUGUCAAGAAGAUG